rnacentral:lncRNA from 1 species
AGACAAAAGAAAAAGAUAUGCAUGAUAUCCCAACUGUUGAGCAAAGAAGAAGACCCAAAGCUUGAGAUAAAAUAUUGCCUGAAAUCUUGCAUCAGUUGUAAAGACCCAGAUUGAAACAUUAAGAGGAUGCACUCCAAUGCGAAGUGGCAAUUGUGGAGCCUGAUGAAAGGAUGUGCAGUCAAAGUAAUAUUAAUCCAGUGACCUAU